rnacentral:lncRNA from 1 species
AAAAAUGUGUUUAAUCCUUAUAAUUCUUCAGCCAAGCAUACGCGAUUAUUAAUUUACAUUAUUUGUUUAAUGGCUGCUAUAUUUGCCAUCAAAAGCACAAUGACAUAUCGAAACUAAGGAGUACGCCGCCAUCUUAAAAUUCUAAAAACCAUAAAUGUCCGAUAAAUGCAUCAGAAUCUAAAAUGAAAUAUAGCACCUACUCUACAAACUUCAUUUUAAUUAAAUAUUAUCCGAAUUUGAAGCGUACACGUAACGAAAUAAUCUUUCUCUUGAAAAUUUCCACCCGUAUGACGUCGUGUUAUGCUAAGACGUAAAUUCGGCAAUUCCUUCGUGAAAUUUCGCGGAAUUUUAUUUAAAUUUUAUUUUUAUACAUUUUCGAAGCUUAAGUGUAUUUGUUUUAUUUUUUUUUUUUUGUUUUUUUUUUUUGUUAUAUAUGCAUUAGAUAGAACUGUUAUGCAAUUGUUUUAUACUCGCAAUUUGCUGAAAACCCCAGUAUCCCCCCAAGAAUGUGUAUCGCGCAUGAAUAGAUGACGAAAGUAGUUUCGGAAACAUGGUUUAUCGAAGUGUAAACCAAGAGAAAAAUUCGAAUUGACCAAUCCAAUUCAAGUAUUUAUAGAUAUGCAAAUGAUAUAAGAAUUAUUUUAUUUUAAAAGUAUUUUCUAUGACGUCGCGUACAUGACAACGUUACGGGUAUUAGAAAAACAACAACAGUGAGGCAAGAUUUUUUAUUUUUUUU